CCUACGGGAGGCAGCAGUGGGGGAUAUUGCACAAUGGGGGAAACCCUGAUGCAGCGACGCCGCGUGAGUGAAGAAGUAUUUCGGUAUGUAAAGCUCUAUCAGCAGGGAAGCAAAUGACAGUACCUGACCACGAAGCCCCGGCUAACUACGUGCCAGCGGCCGCGGUAAUACGUAGGGGGCAAGCGUUAUACGGAUUUACUGGGUGUAAAGGGAGCGUAGACGUGUAUGUAAGGCUGGAGUGCAAGCCCGGGGCGCACCCCCGGGACUGCUUUUGAAAAUGGGUAACUGGAGGACAGGAGGGGCAGGCGGAAUUCCGGGGGUAGCGGUGAAAGGCGUAGAUAUCAGGAGGAACACCGGCGACGAAGGCGGGCUGCUGGACUGAAACUGACGUUGAGGCUAGAAAGCGUGGGGAGCAAACAGGAUUAGAUACCCUUGUAGUC
rnacentral:rRNA from 1 species